rnacentral:lncRNA from 1 species
GUUCAUUUUGGUGGUCUUUUCCAGGAACCCGUGAAAGAAUCAAGAGCGACCAAGAAGUGUCCCACAAGUGUCUCCACUGAUUUAGACAGCAUAACAAAACUAAACUGAGAGAGUUGACAGGGAGGCAAACCAGGGAAGCAAGGGGAUUUUACAUCCAGGGCACGGCAGCCGAAUAAACAUCUGAAGAUUGAAUCCUGGGCAAGAAAUCUUAGAUGAAUGAUAGCCACUGGCAUUGUACUCAAGUGACAUUUUCUGGAGGCUGAUUCCAGGAUGCAUUUUUGAAACCCGGUUGGCAAGUUUCCCUGACUAUGGCUUUGGCUGAUCCUCCCCUACAAGCAUAGCUUGAUGUUACUGCACGCUACUUUGGUCUCUGCUGAUGAGGGAAGAGAAACCCGGGGAUCUUCAUUUAUUUAAAAGCUUAACUUAGAGGAUAAGAUCAGUGAACCAGUGCUGCUGCUGUUGAAGGAGAAGAAGAGAAAGAAACCGAAACUCGAUACCCCAAGUCACUCAGUUCUGCGAGGAGCCUCUCAGUUCCCUGGUGACACAGCUCCGUCAAGGCCGCCGCGACCAAGAGAUCAUCCACAUACUGUAGUAAGAAAGACACAUAUGAGAGUUCAUCAAAAGCCCUGAUUUCAGGAGUCAAAACAAGAUGUCUAAACUACACAAACCAUGCUGGAUGGAUACUUGUAAUAAUUAUCUAAUUUGGUUUUGUCUGGUACAAAACAGCCUAAAAGAAACUUGAUGAAAUUGUGUUCUGGGGAAAUGGCAUAAGAUGUAACAUUUGAACACUAGUUGUAUGAGGAACAAAGUGGCUGUCUUCUUUUGCAUCUCAUUCUCUCAGAAAAAGACAACACCUCAGGUAUUUUUUUCCAUAAAUGGAUGGGAAACUGGAAAGGAGGAUAACAUUUGAAAUGUAAAUAAAUAAAAUAACCAAUAAGAAAUAAAAAAAUAGAUUUGUAAA